UUAAGUUUAAUACAAAUGGCGCGCUUUUAUGAUCGUAUUGUAAAUAGUAUACUACAUAAUAUAAAGUGUUCAGAGCGGAUGUUUAUUGUAAUUAAAAAAAAAAUGACAGAUUUGACAUUAGGUGAAGUAACUAUAAGUUUUCCGUUUAAGCCUUACGAUGUUCAAGGUCCGUACAUGGAAAAAGUUAUUCAAUGUUUACAACAGGGGCAGAACGGGGUGCUGGAGUCGCCGACGGGCACCGGCAAGACGCUCAGCCUGCUGUGCUCGAGCCUGGCCUGGCUCACGGCAAAGAAGGCCCAGCGCCAGGCCCAGGCCCAGGGCCUGCUGCAGCUGGAGGACGGGGACUUGGUCGCGGGGCUGCAGAGGAGCCUGGACGCCGCCGUGGGGACCGUGCCGGCCGCCAGGACCUGGGGAGACCCGAGGAUCAUCUACGCCUCGCGCACGCACGCAGACCUGACCCAGGCCGUGCAGGAGCUGAAGAGGACGCGCUACGCUCACGUGAAGGUGGCCGUGCUGGGUUCCAGGGACCAGAUGUGCAUCCACCCUGAGAUGAAGACUGUGAACGUCAAAAAUAAGGAUCACUUUUGUCGUGCCAAAGUGAAUUCUCGCUCAUGCCACUUCUAUAACAAUGUGGACACAGCCAAAGAGAGUUCUGCACUCAAAGAUGGAGGUAUUCUCGACAUUGAGGACUUGGUAAGAGAGAGCAGAAAACUGCAGUGCUGUCCGUACUACAUUGCCAAAGCAGUGAAAGACACUGCCGAUAUUGUCUUCAUGCCCUACAAUUACCUCCUGGAUCCCAAAACGAGGCAUUCUCAAGGUAUCGAUCUGUUUAACACUGUUAUUAUUUUGGAUGAAGCGCACUACAUACCAAAAAUGUGUGAAGAAGCAAUGUCUUUUCAGAUCUGCAGCACUGACAUAGAAUCGGCAAUCACAGAAAUCACACAGGUAAUGGAGUGCGCUGCAAUCGCGAACUUGGGUGGAGCGACGGCUGGGUCGGAAUUAUCUCUGGAUGAGUUGUCCACCCUGAAGACCAUGCUCGUGGAAUUGGGGAAAGAAAUUACUGGGUUGGAUUUGGAGGAGAGAGACACGAUACAUCCCGGCAGCUUUGUGUUCGAUCUGCUGUCAAAAGUGGAGCUAACGUGCGAGAAAUCUCGAGCUGUUGUGGACCUUCUGGAGAAAGCAGUUGAGUGUCUGUCCAUCACAAACCCCUCACCGUACCAGCACAGGGGAGUUGGUUUGCUAAAGUUCCAGGACUUGUUGAAGGUUGUGUUCUGUGUCGGCGUCUACAUGAGCAAGCGAAGGAAUUGUCAUAAGGUGUAUGUGACCCGCGAAGAAGUUAGCACAGAAGAUUCUUGUGUGCAGAACACGCAGAACAUAACAAAUAAUGGAAAAGUGAUUAACUACUGGUGUUUGAGUCCAGGGUUCGGGAUGCAGCGCCUGGCGGACCAGGGCGUGCGCUGCGUGCUGCUGACGAGCGGCACGCUCUCGCCGCUCAACGCCCUCGUCAAGGAGCUGUGCAUCCCCGUGCCCGUGACCCUGGAGAACCCCCACGUGAUCCGCCCCAGCCAGGUGUGCGUGGGCAUCGUGGAGGCGGGCCCGGACGGCGUGCCGCUGGACUCCUCCUACCACAACCGGGACAACCAGGCGUACGUGAGUUCGCUGGGACGCACCAUCCUCAACUUGAGUCGCCUGAUCCCUCACGGCCUGCUCGUGUUCUUCCCUUCCUACAUCGCCAUGAGGAAGUGCCAGGAAGCAUGGCAGAAAGAUGGCCUGUGGACCAGAAUCUGUAAUUACAAGCACAUCAUUGUGGAACCACGAACACAAGACGGAGGACUGACGGCUGCUAUCAACGACUACUACGUGAAGAUCGCGGAUCCCAACAAAGGGGGCGCCUGCUUCAUGGCUGUAGCCGGAGGCAAGGGGUCUGAGGAUCUCGACUUUGCUGACAGGAAUGUGCGAGGAGUGAUCUUCGCAGGCAUCCCCUUCCCAUCGGCCGCUGAUCCGCGGGUCGUGCUGAAACGUGGCUACCUUGAUGAGUCCGUCGUGGAGAACACUGCCGGCCUGUCGGGGAACGGCUGGUACCGGCUGGAAGCGUCUCGGGCAGUGAACCAGGCCUUGGGCCGAGUCGUAAGGCACGCCCAGGACUACGGGGCCAUACUGUUGUGCGACAUGCACUACAGUUGUUUGACGUUCACCCGCCAGCUGUCCUCCUGGGUACAGCCUCACGUAAGGGUGUUGGAAGACAUUGAAGAAGUCACCAGCGUCGUGAAACAUUUCUUCGCGGUUGCAGAGCUGCCCGCUGCGAAGAUCACGCUGGACAUCAGAGUAGAAGGAGAGGGGGGACCGGGGCGAGUGUUGUCGGACGCCCUGUGCGGGGGCUGCAGGGCGGAGGUGUUCGAGGCCGCCCUGGCGAGCGUCACGAAGAGGACCAACCACGACCGACCACGGAGCGCUGCGGGGGCGGGGCGGAGACUGGCGGACCCGGUCAAAGUGGCGUUGGUCACGGAGUACCUGAGAGAGGUGGAGAAAUCAUUGGAUAGUGCCUGUUACAAAAAAUUUAUGACAGCUCUGAAGAAAUACACUGUAGAUGGCAGCAUGGAAGACUUCUUCCAUGUACUAAAAGAGGUGUUCCUACCAGAACCAAUUGUCUCUACCCAACUUCUGCCAUUAUUACAAAUUUGAAAUGAAGAAAUCAACCGCGCCCAGCUGCGUAAUCGCGGGAUCCAGUUCCUGGCUGGCGACGCAUCUGUAAAUAGAAGCCAACUCCCCUGUCUGACAGGGUCCGAGAGCCGGACGCCGAAUUGGCAUUUUCAUCUCCUUUCCUCAACAGGACACAAGCGCCCUGGCAUCAUGUUCCCGCGUGAUCUCCGGGAAAGGAAGCCCCGACCUCCGGUGCUUCUGUAUCUUUUGACCCUUUUCUGAACUUUCUUUUAAUUACGUCGUCAGAUGCAGUUAAUUAGAUAAACAUAAUUUCUGAACUUUAAGUAUAUAUCCGGGGAUCGUUUAAACACAUAUGUAUUUUUUUUUAUUGGUUUAUGUAUUUUUAGUAAAUGAAACUUUGAUAAUUCCAUGUACGGCCAGCCAAUGUUUUUUUUUAAUAUACCUGAGACCUGUUUAAGAAUGUAAUUAAUAUUGUACGUUAAUAUUUUCUUGUUUCUGUUAUAAGUUUCCUCAGUAUGGAGUAAUUAUAUUUCAGACGGAAUCACACCUUGUUUUUGUUCGUUUCUAAUAAACUGGUGAAACCUAAAGAUCCACCCAGCAAGGCAAAGAUGGUGGUCAGACCGUGGUUGGCUGCUACAAGAAUGAUGGCAGUUGGCAUGGUUUGAACCUUGCUACAAUUGCUACGGGAUCUUCUCACAUCACAAAUUUAAAAUUCAUUCAAACUAUGAACGAAAACACUCGCUCACUUCCGGAGAUCGCUCCUCAGUUCUGUGUCUUCACAGCGUAAUGUCCCUAGCAAGCUCGUCUACCUAGCUACUGAAUAAACUGGACCUAAGUCCCUUUGGAGCAGGCGAACCAGGCCUGUGUUGCACACAUAGGGCCUAAAGUUAAACGUUCGAUAACAAAGAAAAAUAAAGGUUUAAACACUUCAGUUACGGCACAGCCUUAACUCCAGAAGUUAAACUGUCUGUCUCACACGUCCUUAACGGCACAGUACUUGAACGACGACUGAUGAGGCGACACUAAUGUGUACCACCACGCAGGGAAGUAGCAGCUGCGUGACCUCACCAGCCAAUCGCAACACAGCUUUCAUCCAAGGACACAAUCCCAUACGUAAUACCUUAACCUCGCAUCGAGGCAUGUCUGCAAAAACAAACAUGCAAAACACAAAAUUCUCUCUGCUUGGUUGGCAUGAAAACCUAAUAAUUUUUCCCCAUCACCCGUGGGAGCGAAUACCUGCUGAUAUUUCCAUCAUGAGAUUACUUACAGAAAGUGCUGGAAUGUCUUGGUAACUGAAAAUAUGUCUAGAAAAUUGGCCCCGUCGUGUUGCGCAUCCGUCAAAUGUCCUUCCUUUUCCCAAAAAAACACAAUGUUCUAGAACCAUACUGAAAGUAAAUAAAAUAAAGAAAUAUACAUUUAAACAAAUACUAACCUAGCAAACAGUGUGAAAACCAGCAAAAAUUUAGUUAAAUGGCAAUUCAGAAUAAAAUAAUUAAAUAUCAAAGGCUUAUAAAAACAUUCAUGUAAGUCACAUCAAUAUUAUAAAAGCAAAAUUAUGUGUGUAUGUUUGUUACUACUUGACGUCCGAACCGCUGAAAUGAUUUGGAUUAGACACAGCAUACAGCUAGCUCAUAACCUGGAUUAACACAUAUGCCACAUAUUACUAUGAAAUUCCAUCCCUAAUGGUGUGAAAAAGGGGUAAAUUCAUUUUUUAAACAGAAAAUCAUAGUUCACAGACAUACAAACAGUAAGUGUCAAUGUCCACCACCACAGUAAGGUCUGGACACUUCCUAUCCUUCUCCUUGGUGAGACCCGCCCGCUCAGUGGAGCUCACGGCGACUAGCGAACUAACGGCGCUAAUAACAGUUCAGUUUUGAAUUUUAAACAUGCUUUUCAGUGAGUCCGCCUAGGGUUUGUCAAAUUUUGUGACGAGUGUGUGUGUUUGUUACUUCUUCAUACUGUAUUAAACACAUAGGCUACUUUUUAUCCCAAAAAUGUUUGCUGUUCCUGUCACUAAAACGUGACUGCCUAACAUUUGAUCUAGAGGUUCGUUCUAACCCGUUUUUAUUUUUACAAACUAAAAUACAUUCAUCUAGGAAAAAAAAGUAAGAUGUCUCCUGCAGGAUCACUAAACUCUGUAACAACACAGACCAGAAAGUUUUUUUUAAAAAAACCCAGAAGCCAAGCAAUUCCAAUGAAUUGUAUUAGCAACAGACUUGUAAUUUUCAUUCAUGUAUGGUGAACUCAAAUCACCAAACUCACUUGGUGUCAAAGUCCCAGGGAUUUGGCCAUCACCCCAUUCUCCACGGCCCUGCUGAUAUCAUUUCAAAUUUUUGAGCGUAUGCUGUGAAUGGUCAUGAAUUUGAGUGGUUUUCUUUUCCCGUACGGAUGUACAUACAGGUAUUUAAAAGUUUUGAACAACUGUUUGGAAAAAAAAAUUUACAUUUGCUUUGGGUGUGUUUCAGGGUUUCACAGAUUUGUCAUGCGUGGGCAUAAGAAGACAUUUGAAGAUUUGUACAUGUGUUUAGAGGCCAGCAUGCUGGGAUAACGUCAGAGUGCAUUCCUUCCGAUUGUGUGGCGACUAAGACUGAGCAGCAAACAUGCUACAAAGACACUUAGAUUUAAUGUUGUAAGUGCCUGUGUAGCAUUGUUACAAAUGUGUGUUUUUUUUAAGUGCAACAUUUGUUAUAUUUUUCGUCAUAGCAGUUUUAUAUUGUAUGUAGCAACUCCAUUUUCAUGGUUAUCAUAUUGGUGAUGUUUUCUGUAAAAAAAAAAAAAAAAAAAA